CUCCGGGAACACGAGCGCUUCUUGGCUCCUCCUCGUCACCGCCGGUUUGGCUUUCUGCCACGACUGCAAGAAUUAUCCACAUCACCACCACUACCUUGUCUAGUUUAAUUAUUCAGCUGUCAGGGGGCGUGUUUGAGUGCCAGCUGUGAUGCAGAGAGUGAGAAGGGGAAAAUGAGCUGCCAGAUGCCUAGCAGAUGCUAGAGAGUGAUGGAGCUGACCUUACCUGCCCUGACCCAGCUGAGCUAAACUUGAGCCGGAUGCUGCAAUUAAUUUUAAUUAAUUUUGCUCAUUUUUUAUGUGCUAAAAAGGUGUAGAGCAGGAAAGUGCUGUUUAAUAAAAAGAGGAA